AAAUAUUUAUGGACCGUCCCUUUAAUAUUAUGGUCUUAAAUUUUGUCAUAAAUCUAAAGUUAAAACCCAUAUUUCCACAGAUUCCAUUCUUUUCCCUGUGACCACCAGCACCUGUCUAUUCAAAAUAGAAGCUAGGGCGAUGGGUGGAUUUGGGACUGGCAGAUGUCCAGUGGGAUGCUGGUGGCUAUGACGUAACUACACUUAACACUUUCAAGAAGAUAUUGCCUCCCUAUUCUUUCCUACUUCACAAUGUACAAUUAAACUGAUUUUAAGGUUCUGAAAACUGGGAGAAGGAGAAACUAAAUGUCCAAGAUCACCAGGUAAUAAUAGGCUUUAAAAUGACACCAUCAAAGAAGGGAUGGUUGAAAAAGAUGGACUGGUCACAAGGAAGAAUAGAUAGACAAUUGAUAUACAACCUGUGUGCUCUACCCAUGUUCUUGAAAUGUCAAGAUAAAGUAUGGAAGAUCUCCAGCAUGUUGGAUGGACUUAGGUCAAACCAAUAGAAGAACAUGGACAAGAAUAUUUUUGGGACAGGCAUGAAUGCAUUUUGUUCUGCAUUGUUGGAGAAAACAUCCACAUUGGAAUGAAUGUGAUGCCUUUCUACCAACCAUCAGAGCCUGUUUGGCAUGAGCUUGGUGCCAAGAAACCUGGAAUCAAAUUCUGACUAAAAUACUUAACUAGCUGUGUGACCCUGGGCAAGUCACUUUUCCUCAAUUGCAAAAUUUGGAUAAUAAUAUUCUCAGUGUUUACUUCUCUGGAUCAUUGUGAUGGAAGUGUUUUGUAAACCUUAAAGAAUUAUAUAAAUGUGAAUGCCUAAAUCAAUUUAACAAGAGGAUUUAGAAUCUGCUAUAUGCUGUACGACCUAUAUCAAAUUGCUUACCAUCUCAAGGAA